rnacentral:ncRNA from 1 species
CUGGCCUGUGGCGUUCAUAGCCACGUCGCUUUGUGAUCCUUUGAUGUCGGCUCCUCCUAUCAGUGUGAAGCAGAAUUCAGCAAACGUUGGAUUGCUCACACACUGAUGGGGAACGUGAUCUGGGUUUAGAACGGCGGGAGACACGUU